CCCUUAGAUGUUCUGGGCUGCACGCGCGCUACACUGAUGCACUCAACGAGUUUACGACCUUGCCCGAUAGGGUUGGGUAAUCUUUUUAAAAUGCAUCGUGAUGGGGAUAGAUUAUUGCAAUUAUUAACCUUCAACGAGGAAUUCCUAGUAAGCGCGAGUCAUCAGCUCGUGCUGAUUACGUCCCUGCCCUUUGUACACACCGCCCGUCGCUCCUACCGAUUGAGUGCUCAGGUGAAUAAUUCGGACUGCAGCAAUGUUUGGAUCCCGAACGUUGCAGCGGAAAGUUUAGUGAACCUUAUCACUUAGAGGAAGGAGAAGUCGUAACA
rnacentral:rRNA from 1 species